rnacentral:lncRNA from 1 species
AGCAAAAGAUAGCAGUGAGUGUGCCAAUGCACUGUGACAAAUGCCGAACCAAGGCCUUGAAGAUUGCUGCAGCUGCACACGGUAGGCAUCGAUCAAUCAAUACAUACAGAUCAAUUUAUCAAAAAAAAGAAAGAAAAGAAAUUCAAGUUUCAUCACCAAUAAUUAGGUCAGUUAAUAAGUAUUAAUUGAUGAUUACAUAUAAAGCAGGUGUGAGCAAAGUGUCGAUCGAAGCAGACAAAGGUCAUAUGGAGGUGAUUGGAGAUGGGGUUGACUCUGUUUGCUUGACCAGUUUGUUAAGGAAGAAGCUUGGCUUCGCCACCAUUGUCAAAGUUGAAGAAGUGAAAGGAGCUAAAGAUGAUAAGAAAGAGGAAAAGGCAACGCCUCCCCCAGGCUGUGUUCAAUAUUGUCCUCCAAUGUACUAUGAACUGGUUGAUGAAUAUCCAGAACCAGUCCAAUGCUCUAUUAUGUAA